AAGUCGAACGGUAACAGGAAGCAGCUUGCUGCUUUGCUGACGAGUGGCGGACGGGUGAGUAAUGUCUGGGAAACUGCCUGAUGGAGGGGGAUAACUACUGGAAACGGUGGCUAAUACCGCAUAACGUCGCAAGACCAAAGAGGGGGACCUUCGGGCCUCUUGCCAUCAGAUGUGCCCAGAUGGGAUUAGCUAGUUGGUGAGGUAACGGCUCACCAAGGCGACGAUCCCUAGCUGGUCUGAGAGGAUGACCAGCCACACUGGAACUGAGACACGGUCCAGACUCCUACGGGAGGCAGCAGUGGGGAAUAUUGCACAAUGGGCGCAAGCCUGAUGCAGCCAUGCCGCGUGUAUGAAGAAGGCCUUCGGGUUGUCAAGUACUUUCAGCGGGGAGGAAGGUGUUGUGGUUAAUAACCGCAG
rnacentral:rRNA from 1 species